UAACGCGUGGAUAACCUGCCUCACACUGGGGGAUAACAGUUAGAAAUGACUGCUAAUACCGCAUGAGCGCACAGUACCGCAUGGUACGGUGUGAAAAGCUCCGGUGGUGUGAGAUGGAUCCGCGUCUGAUUAGCCAGUUGGCGGGGUAACGGCCCACCAAAGCGACGAUCAGUAGCCGACCUGAGAGGGUGACCGGCCACAUUGAGACUGAGACACGGCCCAA
rnacentral:rRNA from 1 species